rnacentral:tRNA from 1 species
GUGGAUGUAGCUCAGUGGUAGAGUGUUUGCUUCUCAUACAGGAGACCCUGGGCUCAAUUCCCAGUACA